rnacentral:rRNA from 1 species
GAUGAACGCUGGCGGCGUGCCUAAUACAUGCAAGUCGAGCGAACAGAUGAGGAGCUUGCUCCUCUGACGUUAGCGGCGGACGGGUGAGUAACACGUGGAUAACCUACCUAUAAGACUGGGAUAACUUCGGGAAACCGGAGCUAAUACCGGAUAAUAUAUUGAACCGCAUGGAUCAAUAGUGAAAGACGGUUUUGCUGUCACUUAUAGAUGGAUCCGCGCCGCAUUAGCUAGUUGGUAAGGUAACGGCUUACCAAGGGAACGAUGCGUAGCCGACCUGAGAGGGUGAACGGCCCCAUUGGGACUGGGCCACGGGCCCAGCCCCUAACGGAGGGAGCCGUAGGGAACUUUCCCCCAUGGGGGAAAACCCUAUCGGGCCACCCCCGCUGGGUGAAUGAGGUCUUCCGAUUCUAAAAACCUUUUUUUUGAGAAAAAACAAAUUGGUAAUAACUGUUCCCCGUUUUGCCGUUACCAAACAGAAAGCCCCCGCUAACCACGUG